rnacentral:lncRNA from 1 species
GCUUGUUAACUACUCUUUAACAGACUUUAUAAUAAAUAGGCUUGUCCAUUAGUUAUAAUGAGCGUUGAGGAAGGGCGUUGGCCACACUGUCAGGCUUUCUGAAAUUAUGAAAGGAAAAAGAAAAGGUGGGAGGGCAAACCUCUGAACUGCUGGAGCUGUGAAAUAGUCCUGACCUGACCCACAGGCACAAAAUAAUCCCUCAACAGAAGAGAGCAGUUGUGCACCCAGUACAGUAUUUUGCCUGAUUGACAAGCACAUUGAUACCUUUUCCUCCUCCAGGAAGAACCAUUGUCUUGGAGACCUGCCGGGAAUCAUGGGCUGGAGAAGACAUUACCCAUCCUUAUGUAGUGAUCAUUUGCUGACCUUAUGUAUCGAAUUGCACCAGGAAGAAAUUACCUUUCUUAAACCUAGAGAAGAUAGGUAGAACCUGUGAAGCAGCCUGUAGUGCACAGAGGCACUGCAGUCAAACAUCCUAGACAACCUUUCUGCUUGAUCAAAUUUUGAAGCAUAAAGCUUGGAACCAGCUCCCAAGAAAAACAACUGACAGACUUGAGUGCGGUAUUUAUCUUGGCCUUGGUCAAGAAAAGAAAGAAAAAAGGCUGGAUGACACCUGCUUUUACACAGAAUUUGACUGCUUUCUCUGGGAUGGUAAGUGAUGCUGAAUGCAUGCACAGAUCUCUCCCAAACUAAGAGCAAAAUUUCUCUCUUAUUUUCUGUAUCACUUUAUAAAAAAUCUUUAAUCAUUUUUAAUAACCUGUUGUAACAACAGGUAUAACAGGUUAUUAAACAGGUAUUUUAUAUCACAGUUUCAGCCUACUAAAUUAUCUGACUUCACUGACAUAAACAGAAGGUAAAACUAUUUCUAUUAUUCUGCAUGG